AAUGGUUACUUUAGUGAGGUAUAAAUGGUAAAUUUAGUGAGGUAUAAAGGGUAAAUUUAGUGAGGUAUAAAGGGUGAAUUUAGUGAGGUAUAAAGGGUGAAUUUAGUGAGGUAUAAAGGGUGAAUUUAGUGAGGUAUAAAGGGUGAAUUUAGUGAGGUAUAAAAGGUGAAUUUAGUGAGGUAUAAAGGGUGAAUUUAGUGAGGUAUAAAAGGUGAAUUUAGUGAGGUAUAAAGGGUGAAUUUAGUGAGGUAUAAAGGGUGAAUUUAGUGAGGUAUAAAGGGUGAAUUUAGUGAGGUAUAAAAGGUGAAUUUAGUGAGGUAUAAAUGGUGAAUUUAGUGAGGUAUAAAUGGUAAAUUUAGUGAGGUAUAAAUGGUGAAUUUAGUGAGGUAUAAAGGGUGAAUUUAGUGAGGUAUAAAGGGUGAAUUUAGUGAGGUAUAAAAGGUGAAUUUAGUGAGGUAUAAAGGGUGAAUUUAGUGAGGUAUAACCAGUGAAUUUAAGUUUUGUGGACUGAUGUUUGACAUUUGGUUGAUUUUCUUUUGACCAUGGUGUUGUCUGAUUAUUUUUUUUAUUCUAAUUGAAGUGGCUCUCUUUUAUUAAAAUAUUCAUGAAGAAUUA